rnacentral:rRNA from 1 species
GUGGCGGACGGGUGAGUAACGCGUGGGAAUCUACCCAGUAGUGGAGGACAGCCAGGAGAAAUCCUGAUUAAUACUGCAUACGAUCUACGGAUGAAAGAUGGCCUCUAUUUAUAAGCUAUCGCUAUUGGAUGAGCCCGCGUUAGAUUAGCUAGUUGGUGGGGUAAGAGCCUACCAAGGCGACGAUCUAUAGCUGGUCUGAGAGGACGACCAGCCACAUCGGGACUGAGACACGGCCCGGACUCCUACGGGAGGCAGCAGUGGGGAAUAUUGGACAAUGGGCGCAAGCCUGAUCCAGCAAUGCCGCGUGUGUGAAGAAGGCCCUAGGGUUGUAAAGCACUUUCAAUUGUGAAGAAGAGUAUAAGAUUAAUACUCUUGUACUUUGACGUUAACUUUAGAAGAAGCACCGGCUAACUCUGUGCCAGCAGCCGCGGUAAUACAGAGGGUGCAAGCGUUAAUCGGAAUUACUGGGCGUAAAGCGCGCGUAGGCGGUUAGAUAAGUCAGAUGUGAAAUCCCCGGGCUCAACCUGGGAACUGCAUCUGAUACUGUUUAACUAGAGUUUGGGAGAGGGAAGUAGAAUUUCAGGUGUAGCGGUGAAAU